CCUGCUCUCAGCUAGGCCGGGCCUCGGUGGGGACAUGGCCAUGUUGUGCCUGAGCGAGUUAGAAAAACGCCACACUUUGAGAUGAAUUAAGAGUCCUUUAUUAG
rnacentral:pre_miRNA from 10 species